AGCGAACGUUAGCGGCGGGCCUAACACAUGCAAGUCGAACGCGAAAGGUCUUCGGACUGAGUAGAGUGGCGCACGGGUGAGUAACACGUAGGUAAUCUACCCUUUGGCGGGGGAUAACGUUCCGAAAGGAGCGCUAAUACCGCAUAAGACCACGGAGUCUCCGGACGCUGUGGGAAAAGGUGGCCUCUUCUUGAAAGCUACCACCGAAGGAUGAGCCUGCGUCCCAUCAGCUAGUUGGUAAGGUAAUGGCUUACCAAGGCGAAGACGGGUAGCUGGUUUGAGAGAAUGAUCAGCCACACUGGCACUGGAACACGGGCCAGACUCCUACGGGAGGCAGCAGUGAGGAAUAUUGGGCAAUGGGCGAAAGCCUGACCCAGCCACGCCGCGUGAGUGAUGAAGGCCCUCGGGUCAUAAAGCUCUGUGGAGAGGGACGAAAACCCUGGUUUCAAAUAGGCUCCAGGCUUGACGGUACCUCUUUAGCAAGCACCGGCUAACUCUGUGCCAGCAGCCG
rnacentral:rRNA from 1 species